AUGCCCCCCUCGGUCCUCUCCCACCCCCGCACUCACCCACUCCUUUCUCCUUCCUCUACCUUUCGUUUUUUCCCUCCUCCAGAUCCACUCAUGGACGCCCAUGCCGUCGCCGUUUCUUUGCCGCCCGUGUUGCCAACAGCCUCCCCGUGUCAAGCCAGCAGGUCCACGGGCCCCGUCGGCUUCUGCUCCUUUGACUACACUGCUGGAUCGAGCAGGGGAGCCACUCCCUCGUCGCCGUGGCCUUCGUCUUGGCCGUCGGUCUUCACCGCUGCCUCAUCGUGGAUCUGUGCUCUCGUGCCUCCCCGAACGCGCCAUCGACCUCCGCUACCCCGAGGCUGCCGACGACCACCCCAGUUCGACUACGGUGUUGACGACCCCUCUCUCUUNNNNNNGCAACCAGAUGCUGGAGCCCCAGGAGCCAGACGCCACCGUCGAGGACGACUCCUACUACACCAGAGGUGCCUACUACUACGUGCAGCCCACUGA
rnacentral:rRNA from 1 species